UUCACACUCUCUUGAAGUGUGUCUGUUUGUCAUUUCUUUCGCCGACGCCCUGACCACCCUUCGCGCUUCUCUCAACCCUGGGACAGCCUCAUCGUCUACUGCUGUGCUGGUCCGCGGCAGUUGAGUGUGUACAUGAGUGUGUGGUUUGAGGCUCUGCGUGGUCCUUGUCCUCUGGAGACUUCAACUCCUGAGCCAUGAAGGACAUCCUCCUUGCUGGUACCCUCGCAGCACUCACUGUCGCCACUGUAGGCAGGAGGAGCCUCCAGAAGGGAAGCAGUCUCACUCCUGCCCCAUGCUUACCUCAGUGACCUCACUGUAAAGCUCCAGUCUUCACAACAUGUGACCUCUUAGAAUCUGGCCUCUCUCACUCAUCAGCCACCUCACCAAUCCUCAGCAGCCUGGUUUCCAAUCCUUUGUGACCUCUGCACUUCCCCCAAAGUGUCAUUGCUUCCUUACACUAAGCUUGGGGUCUCCCAGGAGACUCCAAGAGCAGAUGCCUCUGGUGGUGCCCCAGCUGCCUGCAGGUGGAGCUGUGUGGAGAUUUAGAUGAGCCAUGUGUGGUGGCAGCAGCCUCAGAGGGUUUGGGCUGGUGUGAAAAUGAAGUGAGAUCCUGAGAUGGAGGCAGUCAUCACCUCAGUGAGGUCUGCAUGUCUUAAGAAGAGUGGCUCAGAGCUGUGCCUCCUACAUCUCCAUUUCUGGUAGCCCUCCCCCACCCCCAGUGCUUGGGGAGAGCCACAUCCAAAAAGAGUGAUGCCAGCAUUUACUCCUUACCAAAGGAAACCAUGUUGGUUGCUCUUACAAAGUCUCCUUUGUCCCUGCAGCCAUCAUCAGCUUCCUCCUGCUAGGGCUGCUGCUCUAAGAUCAACUCUGGUCUCCCUCCCUCCUUUACCUGCUCAGUGACUAUUAGUCACAGCUUUCCUGGUCACCCCAUGUUUCAAAUGAUUUGUUCUUCACUAUUAAAACUUUGCUUCAACAC